rnacentral:rRNA from 1 species
GCUUGUCUCAAAGAUUAAGCCAUGCAUGUCUAAGUAUAAGCAAACUUGUACUGUGAAACUGCGAAUGGCUCAUUAUAUCAGUUAUAGUCCACUCGAUAGUACCUUACUACUUGGAUAACCGUAGUAAUUCUAGAGCUAAUACAUGCGCAAUGCCCAACUGCUUGUCGGAAGGGUUGCAUUUAUUAGAUUGAAACCAAUCCGCCUUCGGGUGGUAUUGUGUUGAGUCAUAAUAACUGUGCGGAUCGCUCUUCGGAGCGAUGAAUCGAUCGAGUUUCUGCCCUAUCAGCUUUGGAUGGUAGGAUAUGGGCCUACCAUGGCGUUAACGGGUAACGGGGAAUUAGGGUUUGAUUCCGGAGAGGGAGCCUUAGAAACGGCUACCACAUCCAAGGAAGGCAGCAGG